rnacentral:lncRNA from 1 species
UCCCAUUUACUGCUCCACUAUAGUUAGUAAUCAUGUUCCAAUUAGGCAUAAAAAAGCUAGCUAUUCUGCUAGCAUUGUGUUGUUUAACCUUAGUCUCUACAAGUCCUACAAGGUCAAGCUUAUUAAUUCUAAAGUAAUUUUUAGCUUCUUUUUGUUUAAACCUUUUAUUUACACCCCUAAUAUUCCAAAAGAUCCACUUCAUUGAGUAUUGCUAGUUCCCCCUUCAUCCAGGGGAUGAUCAGCCCACCUAACUGUCCGAACUUCAAAUCUGUUAGACAUGACAAGAGGAGAUAAGGGAGGGAAAUUAGUAAUGUUAAAGACUGGAGAGUCUUGUAUAGCAACCUGCUUCUGUUUGUUCCCACCAUCAGCUGAAGUUAUAGUGCUUGUCUCCUUUGAUACCUCUUGACACUGGAUUUGAGCCAUCUGGUU